CAUUUUUGCGUGCAUAAGUUCUUAAGAAAUUUGACAUAUGUAGGGACUUGUUUAAUUACAUCAAGAAGAGGUAAGUUUAUUUGGACUUGUUUAAAUAAUUCUAGUAUUUUAUUCAUCUUGAUACCCUUCUUGUCGAGAGGCAGAGGAGAUUCUAGAGCACUUGAAAAUGGAGCUUUAAGUAUAGGUGCUGGAUUAACAAGUCCUUCCCUCUCUUUAGAUUUCUUCUUUUCUAACUU
rnacentral:lncRNA from 1 species